UACGUAGGGUGCGAGCGUUGUCCGGAAUUACUGGGCGUAAAGAGCUCGUAGGCGGCUUGUCGCGUUGUCCGUGAAAAUUUACCGCUCAACGGUGAACUUGCGGGCGAUACGGGCAGGCUAGAGUACUGCAGGGGAGACUGGAAUUCCUGGUGUAGCGGUGAAAUGCGCAGAUAUCAGGAGGAACACCGGUGGCGAAGGCGGGUCUCUGGGCAGUAACUGACGCUGAGGAGCGAAAGCGUGGGGAGCGAACAGG
rnacentral:rRNA from 1 species